GCCGGGGUGGCGGAACUGGCAUACGCGUACGGUUUAGAACCGUAUGGAGAAAUCCUUGGAGGUUCGAGCCCUCUCUCCGGCACUA
rnacentral:tRNA from 3 species